rnacentral:rRNA from 1 species
CUUAGAAGCAGCCAUUCAUUUAAAGAGUGCGUAACAGCUCACUAGUCAAGAGAUUCUGCGUGGAAGAUAUAACGGGGCUAAGCGUAAUACCGAAGAUAUGGAUUGCAAUUUAUUGCAGUGGUAGCGGAGCGUUCCUAUCGGCAGUGAAGCCGGACUGUUAGGUACCGGUGGAGCGUUAGGAAGUGAGAAUGCUGGAACGAGUAACCAUAAGACAGGUGAGAAUCCUGUCGGCCGAAAGAGCGAGGUUUCCUGGGCUAUGGUAAUCAUCCCAGGGUUAGUCGGGCCUAAGCCGAGGCGUUUAGCGUAGGCGAUGGACAUCAGGUUAAUAUUCCUGAACUAGUCAAACUUUGUAUGCAGUUAGCGAUGAGAUAGGUGGAGCGGAUUCAUGGUUUAUCCGUUCAAGUGAUAGAGGAAUCUUGAUCGAGUAAAAGUGAACCUACGGGUUUACGAUUCCGCUGAAGGCAUUGACCAGAAAAGCUGGCAUACGCAUGGGUUUGGCUACCCGUACCGCAAACCGACACAGGUGCUCGAGUCGAGGAGACUAAGGCUUACGAGAGAAUGAUUGCUAAGGAACUCGGCAAUACAGCGACCGUAACUUCGGAAUAAGGUCUGCCUACAUUUGUAGGCCGCAGCUAAAGAGCCCACGGAACUGUUUAUCAAAAACUCAGGUCUCUGCUAACACGAAAGUGGAUGUAUAGGGGCUGAAACCUGCCCGGUGCCGGAAGGUUAAGGGGAUUGCUUCACGGUGAGAACUGAAGCCCCGGUGAACGGCGGCGGUAACUAUAACCGUCCUAAGGUAGCGAAAUUCCUUGUCAGGUAAGUUCUGACCCGCACGAAUGGAGUAAUCAUGUGGGCACUGUCUCAGCGAAGGACUCGGUGAAAGUGCAUUGGCGGUAAAGAUGCCGUCUGUCCGUACCAGGACGAAAAGACCCCAUGGAGCUUUACUACAGCUUUACAUUGAAUACGGUUUCAACAUGUGUAGCAUAGGUGGGAGACGUUGAAGCAGAUACGCCAGUAUUUGUGGAGUCACCAAGUGAAAUACCACCCUUGUUGUGAUUGUGUUCUCACGCUGACCGUUAUCCGGUUAGCGGACCGUGUAUGGUGGGUAGUUUAACUGGGGCGGUUGCCUCCUAAAGAGUAGCGGAGGCGUUCAAAGGU